rnacentral:tRNA from 1 species
CUUUAAUGGUUUAAGUAAGAAUAUUAGCUUUGGGGGUUAAGGGUCUCUAGUAGGAGUGAGCUG